GUGUAGGAUAGGUGGGAGGCUUUGAAGUGUGGACGCCAGUCUGCAUGGAGCCGACCUUGAAAUACCACCCUUUAAUGUUUGAUGUUCUAACGUUGACCCGUAAUCCGGGUUGCGGACAGUGUCUGGUGGGUAGUUUGACUGGGGCGGUCUCCUCCUAAAGAGUAACGGAGGAGCACGAAGGUUGGCUAAUCCUGGUCGGACAUCAGGAGGUUAGUGCAAUGGCAUAAGCCAGCUUGACUGCGAGCGUGACGGCGCGAGCAGGUGCGAAAGCAGGUCAUAGUGAUCCGGUGGUUCUGAAUGGAAGGGCCAUCGCUCAACGGAUAAAAGGUACUCCGGGGAUAACAGGCUGAUACCGCCCAAGAGUUCAUAUCGACGGCGGUGUUUGGCACCUCGAUGUCGGCUCAUCACAUCCUGGGGCUGAAGUAGGUCCCAAGGGUAUGGCUGUUCGCCAUUUAAAGUGGUACGCGAGCUGGGUUUAGAACGUCGUGAGACAGUUCGGUCCCUAUCUGCCGUGGGCGCUGGAGAACUGAGGGGGGCUGCUCCUAGUACGAGAGGACCGGAGUGGACGCAUCACUGGUGUUCGGGUUGUCAUGCCAAUGGCACUGCCCGGUAGCUAAAUGCGGAAGAGAUAAGUGCUGAAAGCAUCUAAGCACGAAACUUGC
rnacentral:rRNA from 1 species